UUAACCAACUGAGCCACCCAGGCGCCCCAACCCUUCCUUUUCAAGGUCUUUCCAUCUUUCCUUCUUCUCCUGGAGCGCUGGACCUUGGCCCUGUGAACCAGCUCCCCACUGAGAUGCGAGUGGACUCUAGAGACUUCUGGGAAAGGCUUCCGAGUCUCUAAGAGAAAUACAGGAAGAUCUGGUCCAGACUUGGCGCUGUCAUUUCUGGAGGUCAUAGCUGAAACAGCUGCAGCCACCCAGUGGCUUCGAAGGAACUAGCUCCCAGAGAUGGAAAAGAUAUAUCCUUCAUGAUGAGGUUGUACCACAGACCAAGCCUAGAUGGACCUACCCUGCAACUCCUUUUCAUGCAAGGGACAGAUUUCUCUAUUACUUGAGCCACUGAGACUGAGUGCAUCCUAUUUAUUUUAACCACAUACACACAUUUUAACUCAAGUGUGACCUUGUGUUCCUUUUCUCAUGUGCCCGUUGACUGCCCUGCCCAGAUUAGGACAAGUGUCCCUACAGAGGCCCUUGUAUGCCCCACCCUGGCACCUCUCCCACUCUGUCUCUACCUGUUUAAUGGUCUAAAUCUUUCCCACAGUCUCUGCGCCAUUUGAGAGCGAGAGUGAGGCCUGGGUGCCCUGCUCACCUUGUCUCCCUGGUGUCUAGCACAGAAUCUGGCACUAGUACAUCACUUAAUAAAUAUUUGCUGAAUGAGUAAGUAAAUAAUGAACACAUGAAUGGA